rnacentral:rRNA from 1 species
UACGGGAGGCAGCAGUGGGGAAUAUUGCACAAUGGGCGCAAGCCUGAUGCAGCCAUGCCGCGUGUAUGAAGAAGGCCUUCGGGUUGUAAAGUACUUUCAGUCGUGAGGAAGGUGUUAAGGUUAAUAACCUUAGCAAUUGACGUUAGCGACAGAAGAAGCACCGGCUAACUCCGUGCCGGCAGCCGCGGUAAUACGGAGGGUGCGAGCGUUAAUCGGAAUUACUGGGCGUAAAGGGCACGCAGGCGGUUAAUUAAGUUGGAUGUGAAAUCCCCGGGCUUAACCUGGGAAUGGCAUUCAAGACUGGUUAGCUAGAGUCUUGUAGAGGGGGUAGAAUUCCAUGUGUAGCGGUGAAAUGCGUAGAGAUGUGGAGGAAUACCGGUGGCGAAGGCGGCCCCUGGACAAAGACUGACGCUCAUGUGCGAAAGCGUGGGGAGCAAACGAGGGAUUAGAUACC